rnacentral:rRNA from 1 species
UACGGAGGGUGCAAGCGUUAAUCGGAAUUACUGGGCGUAAAGCGCACGUAGGUGGCUGAAUAAGUCGGAUGUGAAAGCCCUGGGCUUAACCUGGGAAUUGCAUUCGAUACUGUUCGGCUAGAGUACGGUAGAGGGAGGUAGAAUUCCUAGUGUAGCGGUGAAAUGCGUAGAUAUUAGGAGGAAUACCGGUGGCGAAGGCGGCCUCCUGGACUGAUACUGACACUGAGGUGCGAAAGCGUGGGGAGCAAACAGGAUUAGAAACCCCCGUAGU